UACGGAGGGUGCGAGCGUUGUCCGGAAUCAUUGGGCGUAAAGGCGCGUAGGUGGCCCGGUCAGUCUUUGGUGAAAGCGCGGGGCUCAACCCUGCGUCGGCCAGGGAUACUGCCGCGGCUCGAGCACUGUAGAGGCAGGCGGAAUUCCGGGUGGUAGCGGUGGAAUGCGUAGAGAUCCGGAAGAACACCGGUGGCGAAGGCGGCCUGCUGGGCAGUUUAGCUGACACUGAGGCGCGGACAGCGUGGGGAGCAAACAGG
rnacentral:rRNA from 1 species